rnacentral:lncRNA from 1 species
GUUCGUGUGGGUGCGCGGGCAUACGGACGGGAGGGGAAGUUUGUUUCUUCCUUUUAUUUUCUUUUCCUCCUCUUCUUAAUUGGUUGCUUCCCCCCCCCCCUUCUUAAAAAUCUGAUUGGCCCUCUUUUUAAUAAACUAACUUAACCUUUAACCCAUAUGUGGGAAUUAAAUAAUUCACACAAUCUAUAGUUCACAACUUCAAACGUCUGUAUCUAUAUCGUUAUAAUUCGGACUUGCAAAUGGUUUUCACCUAUGCGUUCGUACUAACGACUAUUACACAGUUACGCCAAAAGAAUAAGUCAUAUGUUCCUUUAGACGAUGGUCAACAAAAGUCAAAAUCCUCGCCUUUAGGGCAUAUUUGUAAUUUCACAUUUUUAAAUUUAUAAAAUAAUAAAAUUUGGGAUGGGUUGUCACAAUCAAAGUUUGGAAUUGUUAAGAAACUUCUCUCGCCCAUGAGAGACCUUCCCUCUGUUUGAGGGCGAUUCUCACCCUUUCAUGUGAGUGUUUUUCCAUCGUGUUCUAGUUUGUUGCAGUCGAUCCUGGCUACAGUUGGGAUCGGUGGGUGCUCUUUUGUUUUUGCUUUGGUCUCCCUCUCUUCUCCCCUCCGAUGCUUCUUUCCCCUGCUUCCUGGUUCGAUUUACCCUCUUCUCCUCCCAUUGCUGUCUCUCUUUCUCAUUCCUCUAAUUUUUGAUUUUUGGUCAAGUUUCGUCGCUAGAUGCGGCUUGUUGAGUCGGUAUGCUCUAAUCUGGUGCAUGCACUGGGUCGAGUGUUCCAAACACCCCCACCUUCUCUUUUCUGUCUGCCUUGGUUGGCAGUGUUGCUCGUGGAUUUCCAUGCGCUUCUUUAUCUUUCUGCAAGUUCGUGGUGAUCUGUGGCUGUGUUUAGACUGAAGAUUGGAAUUGGUUGCUGGGUUUGCUGUGGCGCGGCUCAGUUGGGAGAUGAGCUUUGGGUGGAUCGACUAGCACUGUUGUGGCAGUGUUGGUUGCAGCGAGGGUUGCAUCGGUGUUUCUAGUUUUCUGUUUUCUUUAGUUCCAACUUUUGGUUGGGCUUGUUUUGGUGUGUUUGGUUGGCCCCGUUUUGCUUUGUGUAUUGAUGUGGUAAAAACACAAAUUAAACCUUUUUUAGACAGUUGUAAUAUGAGUACGUAGGGAUCGUUUUAGGCCAGGGAUUAGAAGGGAUGCUAAUCAACACGAACUGGACUUAAAAAUUGUAAAAUAGACUAAACUAACACAAAUAAGAACUAAGGGGUUUAUUUUUUUUAUGAAUUUUAAACUAAAACAACUAAAUUGCAGAAACAAGGUGAAUUUGGACGAAAAUUGGGUGAAAGGCUAGCUAGAGGAUUCUUCUCCACACAUGAACCAUAUGCAUACAAAUCGAUUUCCAGUUAUUAUUCCUAUAAACCAUGAAUGACAAUGCCCUAAAUUAAUCGUGAAUUGCACAAAUUAACUCUCAGAUUUUCCUAAGUUCAUUGAAUUGGACUCAGCGACGCAACCAAAUUAUUCUUAUCAAGUUUCCUAUAUGAACAGCAUAAUAGAGAUACAUAUCAAAGAUCAUUAAGUUCUGUGAAAAUCAUAAGCAUUGGCAAGGCAUUCGUAACUAUGAACUGCAUGAUACUCCUGUCAGGAAUUUACUUAACUCAAUCAUGACUAGUGACUUUUACUACUUGUAAAUAUAAGUUCAUAAUGAUUAGGUGAAAUUCCCUUAUAUUCUAGCAUCAAAUCCCUGCAUGCAAACUAAGUGUGCACCCUUAAUCAACAUAGAAGAACAAGUUCUUAAUAAAAUAGAUAAGUAAAUUGCAUUUACGGUUUAUGAAACAAUAACUAGAUGUAGUCAAUUCAUAUAAAACAUAUGAUCAUGGCUUCGAAUUCACCUCUAGCUAAAAAGAAACUUAGUUAUGCAUGUUCGUCAUAACUAAAUAAAAACAAUCUAAAUUAAACAUUGAAAUCAAAUAAGGAUAGAAAGAACUCUGAGACACUCCAACAAUGGCAGAUUCGGCUCCUCCUCUAGAUGGCAGAAUCGACUCCUCUUCUCCUUGCAAGCACGACUCAAAAUCUCCUUCUCUCCUCCAUAAACUUGCGGCACUCUCACCAAUUUUCUCUCUCAAGCUCCCUCAAAGCUGCGGCAAUAACUUAUAUUUAUAGGGCUAAGGCACAACCUACUUUGUGGUGGAAAAUGAUUGAGUUGUUUGCAGUGUUUUAGGACUCUUUAAAUCAAAUUAGAAGUGGUUGAAUGUGAUAAGGAAACCCUCUUGUAGCUGGAGAUAAGGUAAGGUAGGAUUAGGAUAUGAUAAGAUAAGAUAAGAUAAGGUUGAGAUAAAACAGGACUGGAUAAAAUAAGGUAAGUUUGGAUAAGGUCUCCUUGUUUUUAGCUGAUUCCUUGUCUUCCAAGCCUUAAUUUAAUUCUUCCAGAUUUGUAGCACAUUUUUAGCAUCAUUUGUCACCAAAAACGUCCAUCCAUUAUGCUCCAUACGCAUGCUAUCCAAUCUAAGUCCAAAACUGAUCCAAAUUGCUCCAUUUAGCCAUUUAUUGUCAUCUUUGCCAAUUGGACCUACAAACACACGAAAAUAACUUAAAUCACUAUAAUAAAUAGAAACUAACUCACUAAAUGCAAAGAAACAAGCUAACAAAGUCGCAUAAAUAUGCUCCUAUCAUGUAUCUGUUUUGGGCCUUGGUUGUAAGCAUGGUCUAAAAUAUCCAUAAUAUCCCGAUAUUUCCAUCGAAAUUUCCGUGUUUUUUGACUACCGAUAUUUUUUUGGACUACCAAUAUUUCCGAUAUCAUCGAUAUUUUAGACCUUGCUAAGUCACUCAUGUAUCUUACCAUGCAAUGUUUAAAGUGUAAAAUAUUAUACUAAUUCAUUAUAUAUAAAUGAUUAUGGUGUAUUUAAACUUCUUUCAUUAAUUAUUACAUAUUUUCUACACUCACAAUGUUUGCCAACUUGCUAUAUAAUCAACUUAAAUCAGUUAUAUCUAUCAUGCAAUGCAUUUCCUUUCAAUUUUUUGUGAUAAACUAAUAGAUAAUUGACUAAAUAAACAUCCUGCAAAGUUUCAAUAAAAAUUUCCAAGUUUUUCUUACAAUUUUUAUCGAUAUCGAUAAUAUCCCGAUAUUUCUAUCGAAAUUUCCGUGUUUUUGGAUUACCGAUAUUUCCGAUAUCAUCGAUAUUUUAUACCUUGGUUGUAAGUUUGUGUUGCAAUGAAUGCUUCACCAUGCUUUGGCAUGGUGUUUUUCCAAAAAAAAAAAAAAAAAAAAAAAAAGCCUGGAAUUGUUAAACUAUUAUUUAGUCCAAACCAAUACGGUGUGUGUACCCAUGUGAUGGAUUCAAAACCAAUCAAAAACCAAUUCCUUAUAGAGCUGCCAAAACAUUAUGCGGCUCAAUCAAUCUGGUCAAUUAUUUUGACUAUAUUCGAUAAAGAAAAAUCACGGGAGUUCUUAAUCAUGCUCUGAUACCACAAGUAAAAUUUUUCUUUCUUUCUAACAAGUAAACUUAAAAUUAGGUAAAUUUAUAAGACCUAAUCCAUGAACCAGGAUCUUGAACACCAUGAACUUCACAAACGAUUGUUGUAGAAUACAUAAAUUGCAAAUCUCUAUCUUGAGCAAUCCAUAGGUGAGAUGUUGCUGUGAAGGAAAUUAGCUUUCUAUCUCUAAUCUUGCUUGCACGUUAAAACCCUAAUACGUGUUCUUCAUUAGUAUAAUACAUAGGGAAUAACAAAUUAUUCCCAUUCAUAUACGGAAAAACCCCAAAAACGUAGUAUAACAAAAAUUGACCACAAUAUAUGCAAUAUUGAAUUCAACGGAUUCAUAAUAUCAAAGUAUGGAAUUGUUGAACUAUUAUUUAGUCCAAACCAAUACGGUGUGUGUGCCCAUGUGAUGGAUUCAAAACCAAUCAAAAACCAAUUCCUAUUAGAGCUCCCAAAACAUUAUGCGACUCAAUCAAUCUGGUCAAUUAUUCUGAAUAUAUUCGAUAAGGAAAAAUCACGGGAGUUCUUAAUCAUGCUCUAUACCACAAGUAAAUUUUUUUUUCUUUCUUUCUAACAAGUAAACUUAAAAUUCGGUAAAUGUAACCCAAUCCAUUAACCAAGAACUUGAACACCAUAAAUUUCACAAACAAUUGUUGUAGAAUCAAGGUUUUAAAAGACGUUAGGUGCUAGUCGGGCAGCAUGUUGGGGCCUAGCGCCUAGGCGGGCGACUAAGCGGAUUUAAGUAAAUAUACUAUAUUUCUUGUAUAUAAGUGUCUGUUUAUACUUACAAUAUAUAUAAUUUCAUCAUAAACUACAAAGU